rnacentral:rRNA from 1 species
AACGAACGCUGGCGGCAUGCCUAACACAUGCAAGUCGAACGAGACCUUCGGGUCUAGUGGCGCACGGGUGCGUAACGCGUGGGAACCUGCCCUUAGGCUCGGAAUAACUCCCCGAAAGGGGUGCUAAUACCGGAUAAUGUCUUCGGACCAAAGAUUUAUCGCCUUUGGAUGGGCCCGCGUUGGAUUAGCUAGUUGGUAGGGUAAAAGCCUACCAAGGCGACGAUCCAUAGCUGGUCUGAGAGGAUGAUCAGCCACACUGGGACUGAGACACGGCCCAGACUCCUACGGGAGGCAGCAGUGGGGAAUAUUGGACAAUGGGCGAAAGCCUGAUCCAGCAAUGCCGCGUGAGUGAUGAAGGCCUUAGGGUUGUAAAGCUCUUUUACCCGGGAUGAUAAUGACAGUACCGGGAGAAUAAGCUCCGGCUAACUCCGU